GAUGAACGCUGGCGGCGUGCCUAAUACAUGCAAGUCGAACGCUGAAGGAAGGAGCUUGCUCUUUCCGGAUGAGUUGCGAACGGGUGAGUAACGCGUAGGUAACCUGCCUGGUAGCGGGGGAUAACUAUUGGAAACGAUAGCUAAUACCGCAUAACAGUAGAUGUUGCAUGAUAUCUACCUAAAAGGUGCAAUUGCACCACUACCAGAUGGACCUGCGUUGUAUUAGCUAGUUGGUGAGGUAACGGCUCACCAAGGCGACGAUACAUAGCCGACCUGAGAGGGUGAGCGGCCACACUGGGACUGAGACACGGCCCAGACGCCUACGGGAGGCAGCAGGAGGGAAUCUUCGGCAAUGGACGGAAGUCUGACCGAGCAACGCCGCGUGAGUGAAGAAGGUUUUCGGAUCGUAAAGCUCUGUUGUAAGAGAAGAACGAGUGUGAGAGUGGAAAGUUCACACUGUGACGGUAUCUUACCAGAAAGGGACGGCUAACUACGUG
rnacentral:rRNA from 1 species